rnacentral:rRNA from 1 species
AUGCGGCGCCGCCAUCGGCUGACGCCGGAGACGAGAAGCAUCCUCCCGCCUCAUCUUCUCUGCGGAUCCAGCCUCCUCGGGCAGCGAGCUGCCUGCGGGGGAGGAGGGGCAGCGUCGGCGGGGCUGCGGUGGAGGAGCGGCAGGAGGUACAAGUCGCGACGCCUGAUUCAGGGGAACAGAGGUGCCGCAGCCCGCGGGCAGUGGCAAGUGCACGGCAUAGCGGCAGAAGGAAUGCCUAGCACCCGCCUGGUGCCGGCGGCGGGGGCAGAAAGGGGCGGUGGCCGGUGGGGCUCUAGCACCCGCCGGGCGGCCGCCGCCACAUCAAGCUCGGCGAGCUCCAGCUCCCUGGACAUGCCGCCGAUGUGCGAUGAAGUAGUAUGCUGUGUGGAGUACCACUUGGAGACAGUUUCAGGCAGUAGAAAGAUCAGCUCCAAACAAGGACAAGGUAGUCAGGUAACUCUAGUGCGGCACUAG